rnacentral:rRNA from 1 species
AGUGAACGCUGGCGGCAGGCCUAACACAUGCAAGUCGAGCGGCAGCGGGUCCUUCGGGAUGCCGGCGAGCGGCGGACGGGUGAGGAAUGCAUCGGAAUCUGCCCUGUCGUGGGGGAUAACCUAGGGAAACUUAGGCUAAUACCGCAUACGACCCACGGGUGAAAGCAGGGGAUCGCAAGACCUCGCGCGAUAGGAUGAGCCGAUGUCCGAUUAGCUAGUUGGCGGGGUAAAGGCCCACCAAGGCGACGAUCGGUAGCUGGUCUGAGAGGAUGAUCAGCCACACUGGGACUGAGACACGGCCCAGACUCCUACGGGAGGCAGCAGUGGGGAAUAUUGGACAAUGGGCGCAAGCCUGAUCCAGCCAUGCCGCGUGGGUGAAGAAGGCCUUCGGGUUGUAAAGCCCUUUUGUCCGGGAAGAAAUCGUCUGGGCUAAUACCCCGGGCGGAUGACGGUACCGGAAGAAUAAGCACCGGCUAACUUCGUG